rnacentral:rRNA from 1 species
GGGAGGCAGCAGUGGGGAAUUUUGGACAAUGGGCGAAAGCCUCAUCCAGCAAUGCCGCGUGCAGGAUGAAGGCCUUCGGGUUGUAAACUGCUUUUGUACGGAACGAAAAAGCUUCUCCUAAUACGAGGGGCCCAUGACGGUACCGUAAGAAUAAGCACCGGCUAACUACGUGCCAGCAGCCGCGGUAAUACGUAGGGUGCGAGCGUUAAUCGGAAUUACUGGGCGUAAAGCGUGCGCAGGCGGUUAUGUAAGACAGAUGUGAAAUCCCCGGGCUCAACCUGGGAACUGCAUUUGUGACUGCAUGGCUAGAGUACGGUAGAGGGGGAUGGAAUUCCGCGUGUAGCAGUGAAAUGCGUAGAUAUGCGGAGGAACACCGAUGGCGAAGGCAAUCCCCUGGACCUGUACUGACGCUCAUGCACGAAAGCGUGGGGAGCAAACAGGAUUAGAUACCCUGGUAGUCCACGCCCUAAACGAUGUCAACUGGUUGUUGGGAAUUAGUUUUCUCAGUAACGAAGCUAACGCGUGAAGUUGACCGCCUGGGGAGUACGGCCGCAAGGUUGAAACUCAAAUGAAUUGACG